GAUGAACGCUGGCGGCGUGCCUAAUACAUGCAAGUCGAGCGAACGGACGAGAAGCUUGCUUCUCUGAUGUUAGCGGCGGACGGGUGAGUAACACGUGGAUAACCUACCUAUAAGACUGGGAUAACUUCGGGGAACCGGAGCUAAUACCGGAUAAUAUUUUGAACCGCAUGGUUCAAAAGUGAAAGACGGUCUUGCUGUCACUUAUAGAUGGAUCCGCGCUGCAUUAGCUAGUUGGUAAGGUAACGGCUUACCAAGGCAACGAUGCAUAGCCGACCUGAGAGGGUGAUCGGCCACACUGGAACUGAGACACGGUCCAGACUCCUACGGGAGGCAGCAGUAGGGAAUCUUCCGCAAUGGGCGAAAGCCUGACGGAGCAACGCCGCGUGAGUGAUGGAGGUCUUCGGAUCGUAAAACUCUGUUAUUAGGGAAGAACAUAUGUGUAAGUAACUGUGCACAUCUUGACGGUACCUAAUCAGAAAGCCACGGCUAACUACGUG
rnacentral:rRNA from 1 species